GGCCCCCGACAGACUCGUGGGGGUGGAAGACUUUGGGUUGUAACCCCUUUUGUUAGGGAGAAAAAUGACGGUACCUAACGAAUCAGCCUCGGCUAACUCCGUGCCAGCAGCCGCGGUAAUACGGAGGAGGCAAGCGUUAUCCGGAAUUAUUGGGCGUAAAGCGUCCGUAGGUGGCCCGGCAAGUCUGCUGUCAAAGACCACAGCUCAACUGUGGAAAGGCAGUGGAAACUGCAAGGCUAGAGUGCGGUAGGGGUAGAGGGAAUUCCCAGUGUAGCGGUGAAAUGCGUAGAGAUUGGGAAGAACACCGGUGGCGAAAGCGCUCUACUGGGCCGCAACUGACACUGAUGAUGAAAGAAGUGGGGG
rnacentral:rRNA from 1 species